GAUUGCUGGACCCAGACUAGCAAGGAGUCCAGUCUGUGAAAGAAGCUUAUUGAAACAUCUCUGAGGAUUUCAGCUUUGAAAGCCAUCUGGCAUGUGGGCAAAUUAAAAACUUGAUCCCCUUUCCCACUGGCAGAAGUUGGUCCAAUCAAAGCGAUUACCUCACCCACCUUGUCUCCCCAGUAGUGUGGGAUCAGCACGGCUACAACCACCCCUGCAUGAUUAAACAUUGUCAGCGAUGGAGAACCCACGGCGACCCUUGGAAAUCAGAACUGGACACAGGAAUCCAGCAGUAGUCACAUGAGCGCCAGAUACGGCGGUAAAAUCACCUCUCUGCUGCUACUCGAGAUUCCCGUUUAUGCAUCCCAGGAUGGCAUUAGCCCUUUUGGCCACGGUGUGACACUGAGCUCAUGUUCUGCUGAUUAUCCAGCACCCCCAAAUCACUCUGAGACACUGCUUCAGGAGAGAGUUCCCCACCCUGUAAAUGUGGCCUGCCUGCCUUUGUUCCCAGCAGCAUACAUAUACAUCUAGCCAUAUUAAAAUGCACAUUGUUUGCUUGUACCCAGUUUCCCAAACGAUUCAGAUGGUUCUGAAUUCGUGACCUGUCCCCUUGAUUAUUUACCACUUCUUGAAUUUUUAUGUUGGCUGCAAAUUUUAAUAGUGAUUUUUAUGGGUUUUUUUUCCAGGGCAUGGAUAAAAAUGUUAAAUAGCAUAGGGCCAAGACCUGAUCCCUGUAAGAAACACACCUGCGCCUUCCCUGUUUAGUUACCUUCUGAGACCUAGUAGUUAACCAGUUUUUAAUCCAUUGAAUGUGUGCUACGUUAAUUUUAUAUCAUUGUAGUUCUUUAAUUAAAAUGUUGUGCGGUACCAAGUCAAACAUCAAAGACUAUGGUCUACAUUAGAGACCUUACGGUGGCGGAGCUGUACCAAUGCAGCUGUGCUGCUGUAAGAUCUUCCACAUAGCCGCUCUAUGCUGACGGAAGAGAGCUCUCCCACUGGCGUAAUUAAACUAGCUACCACCGCUCGUUGGGGGUAUGUUGGCGUAAGACUGUCUCUCACCGACAUAGCGCUGUCCGUGCCGGCACUUCUGUCCGUGUAAUUUAUGUCAAUCGGGGUGUGUUUUUGUUUCUUCUCCACGCCCCUGAGCAACAUAAUUUUUAACAACCAAAAGUCUAUGUCAAUAUACUUGUGCUAGUAUAAUGUCAAACCUAUUACCUUUUAUCAACCGAACUUGUAAUCUCAUCAAUUUUGGGUACGUCUACACUUACCGGAGGGUCCGGCGGCAGGCAAUCGAUAUUCUGGGAUCGAUCCCGGAAGUGCUCGCCGUCGACGCUGGUACUCCAGCUCGGCGAGAGGAAUACGCGGCAUCGACGAGGGGAGCAUCCCUGCCGCGUCUGGACCCGCGGUAAGUUCGGACUAAGGUACUUCGAAUUCAGCUACAUUAUUAACGUAGCUGAAUUUGCGUACCUUAGUCCGAAGUGGGGGCUUAGUGGGGACCAGGCCAAAGCUAUCUAAGUUAGUUUGACAGGAACUGUUUUCCAUAAACCGCUAUUGAUUGGCAUUAAUUAUAUUAUCCUCCUUUUUAAUUCUUUCUUAAUCAAAUCCCAUAUGAGGCAUUCUAUUAUCUUGCCGCGGAUCAGUGUCAGACUGUCAGGCCUGUAAUGACCUAGGUUAGCAUGUUUACUCUUUUUUAAAAUAUUGACACACCAUUAGCUUUGGUCCAGAACUUCCCCAGUAUUUCAAGACUUAAUUGAAAAGAAACAUGAACAAUCCAGCUAGCUCCUCAACCAGCUCUUUUAAAACUCUUGGAUGCCAGUUAUCUGGAACUGUUGAUUUAAAAGUGUCUGACUUUAGUAGCUUCUGUUUAGUGUCCUUCAGAGCUACGAGUGGAACAGAAAUAUUUAUUGAACACUUCUGCCUUUUCUGCAUUAUUAUUGAUAAUUCUACUAUUUGCAUCUACUAAUGGAUGAAUACUAUUGCCAGGAUUCUUUUUGCUUGUAAUAUAUUUCAAAAACUUAUUGUCUGUAAUUCUGCUGACCACAGAUUUCUCCUUGUGUCCCUUUGUUUCCCUUAUCAGAAGUUAGGAACUGUAGAAAACUGAUUUCUAUUCAUUAUUAUCAACUUCCCCUUUCUUCCAUGUGUUCUAUUACUUUUUUUUAUAGCUGCCUUCACUUCCCCACUAAAGCAGAUCUGUUUUUUAACUAGUGUGGCCUUCUUCCUCAAUUGUGGUUUUGGGGGAACCUAGUAAAUUGUUCUUAAAGGAUUCCCUGUUAUCAGUCACAUUUUUCUCAUUAAAUUUGUCCUCCCAACUGA